UAAUUGAAGAGUUUGAUCAUGGCUCAGAUUGAACGCUGGCGGCAGGCCUAACACAUGCAAGUCGAACGGUAGCACAGAGAGCUUGCUCUUGGGUGACGAGUGGCGGACGGGUGAGUAAUGUCUGGGAAACUGCCCGAUGGAGGGGAUAACUACUGGAAACGGUAGCUAAUACCGCAUAACGUCUACGGACCAAAGUGGGGGACCUUCGGGCCUCACACCAUCGGAUGUGCCCAGAUGGGAUUAGCUGGUAGGUGAGGUAACGGCUCACCUAGGCGACGAUCCCUAGCUGGUCUGAGAGGAUGACCAGCCACACUGGAACUGAGACACGGUCCAGACUCCUACGGGAGGCAGCAGUGGGGAAUAUUGCACAAUGGGCGCAAGCCUGAUGCAGCCAUGCCGCGUGUAUGAAGAAGGCCUUCGGGUUGUAAAGUACUUUCAGCGGGGAGGAAGGGUGAGAGGUUAAUAACCUCCUGCAUUGACGUUACCCGCAGAAGAAGCACCGGCUAACUCCGUGCCAGCAGCCGCGGUAAUACGGAGGGUGCAAGCGUUAAUCGGAAUUACUGGGCGUAAAGCGCACGCAGGCGGUCUGUCAAGUCGGAUGUGAAAUCCCCGGGCUUAACCUGGGAACUGCAUUCGAAACUGGCAGGCUAGAGUCUCGUAGAGGGGGUAGAAUUCCAGGUGUAGCGGUGAAAUGCGUAGAGAUCUGGAGGAAUACCGGUGGCGAAGGCGGCCCCCUGGACGAAGACUGACGCUCAGGUGCGAAAGCGUGGGAGCAAACAGGAUUAGAUACCCUGGUAGUCCACGCCGUAAACGAUGUCGACUUGGAGGCUGUUCCCCUGAGGAGUGGCUUCCGGAGCUAACGCGUUAAGUCGACCGCCUGGGGAGUACGGCCGCAAGGUUAAAACUCAAAUGAAUUGACGGGGGCCCGCACAAGCGGUGGAGCAUGUGGUUUAAUUCGAUGCAACGCGAAGAACCUUACCUGGCCUUGACAUCCACGGAAUUCUGCAGAGAUGCGGAAGUGCCUUCGGGAACCGUGAGACAGGUGCUGCAUGGCUGUCGUCAGCUCGUGUUGUGAAAUGUUGGGUUAAGUCCCGCAACGAGCGCAACCCUUAUCCUUUGUUGCCAGCGAUUCGGUCGGGAACUCAAAGGAGACUGCCGGUGAUAAACCGGAGGAAGGUGGGGAUGACGUCAAGUCAUCAUGGCCCUUACGGCCAGGGCUACACACGUGCUACAAUGGCGCAUACAAAGAGAAGCGACCUCGCGAGAGCAAGCGGACCUCAUAAAGUGCGUCGUAGUCCGGAUCGGAGUCUGCAACUCGACUCCGUGAAGUCGGAAUCGCUAGUAAUCGUAGAUCAGAAUGCUACGGUGAAUACGUUCCCGGGCCUUGUACACACCGCCCGUCACACCAUGGGAGUGGGUUGCAAAAGAAGUAGGUAGCUUAACCUUCGGGAGGGCGCUUACCACUUUGUGAUUCAUGACUGGGGUGAAGUCGUAACAAGGUAACCGUAGGGGAACCUGCGGUUGGAUCACCUCCUUA
rnacentral:rRNA from 1 species